rnacentral:rRNA from 1 species
AGUGAACGCUGGCGGUAUGCCUAACACAUGCAAGUCGAACGGCAGCACAGUAAGAGCUUGCUCUUACGGGUGGCGAGUGGCGGACGGGUGAGGAAUACAUCGGAAUCUACUUUUUCGUGGGGGAUAACGUAGGGAAACUUACGCUAAUACCGCAUACGACCUACGGGUGAAAGCAGGGGAUCUUCGGACCUUGCGCGAUCGAAUGAGCCGAUGUCGGAUUAGCUAGUUGGCGGGGUAAAGGCCCACCAAGGCGACGAUCCGUAGCUGGUCUGAGAGGAUGAUCAGCCACACUGGAACUGAGACACGGUCCAGACUCCUACGGGAGGCAGCAGUGGGGAAUAUUGGACAAUGGGCGCAAGCCUGAUCCAGCCAUACCGCGUGGGUGAAGAAGGCCUUCGGGUUGUAAAGCCCUUUUGUUGGGAAAGAAAAGCAGCAGGUUAAUACCCCGAUGUUCUGACGGUACCCAAAGAAUAAGCACCGGCUAACUUCGUG